rnacentral:rRNA from 1 species
ACAGCUCAGUAACACGUAGGUAACCUACCCUCAGGACUGAGAUAACCCCGGGAAACUGGGGCUAAUAUUAGAUAGAUAAAAGGUACUGGAAUGUUCUUUUAUCCAAAGCUUUUGCGCCUGAGGAUGGGCCUGCGUCCGAUUAGGUUGUUGGUGGGGUAAUGGCCCACCAAGCCUGCGAUCGGUACGGGCAGUGAGAGCUGAAGCCCGGAGUUGGGGACUGAGACAAGGCCCCAGGCCUUACGGGGCGCAGCAGGCGCGAAACCUCUGCAAUGCGGGAAACCGUGACAGGGGGAUCCCAAGUGCUCAUGCAUUGCAUGGGCUGUUCUUUGGUCUAAGUAACCAGAGGAGUAAGGGCUGGGCAAGACCGGUGCCAGCCGCCGCGGUAAUACCGGCAGCUCAAGUGGUAGCCGCGAUUAUUGGGCCUAAAGCGUUCGUAGCCGGAUAAGUAAGUCUUUGGUUAAAUCCUGCAACUCAACUGUGGGAAAUCUAGGGAUACUGCUUGUCUUGAGACCGGGAGAGGUUAGAGGUACUCCUAGGGUAGGGGUGAAAUCCUGUAAUCCUAGGGGGACCACCUGUGGCGAAGGCGUCUAACUGGAACGGGUCUGACGGUGAGGGACGAAACCUAGGGGAGCGAGCCGGAUUAGAUACCCGGGUAGUCCUAGGCGUAAAUGAUGCGAGUUAAGUGUGGGGGCAUCUACGAGAUGGCCCUGUGCUGUAGGGUAGCCGUUAAACUCGCCGCCUGGGGAGUACGGUCGCAAGGCUGAAACUUAAAGGAAUUGGCGGGGGAGCAC